UGUACCGCCAGGUGCAUGGCUGAUUAGCUACGUUCGGGAUGGAUAACCGCUGAAAGCAUCUAAGCGGGAAGCCGGCUUCGAGAUGAGAUUUCCUUGCCCCUUUGAGGGUGUGAGGCCCCCAGCUAGAACACUGGGUUGAUAGGCUGGAUGUGGAAGCGAGGACUGAAGACUCGUGAAGCUGACCAGUACUAAUAGGCCGAUGACUUACACACA
rnacentral:rRNA from 1 species